UGGGUAACCUGCCUCAAAGAGGGGAAUAGCCUCCCGAAAGGGAGAUUAAUACCGCAUAAUAUGUUUAAGUCGCAUGAUUUUAACAUCAAAGGAUUUUCUUAGGAAAUUCCACUUUGAGAUGGACCCCGCGGCGCAUUAGCUAGUUGGUGAGGUAACGGCUCACCAAGGCAACGAUGCGUAGCCGACCUGAGAGGGUGAUCGGCCACAUUGGAACUGAGACUCGGUCCAGCU
rnacentral:rRNA from 1 species